rnacentral:rRNA from 1 species
GCAUGUCUAAGUAUAAACGCUUCUAUACUGUGAAACUGCGAAUGGCUCAUUAAAUCAGUUAUAGUUUAUUUGAUGGUUCCUUGCUACUUGGAUAACCGUAGUAAUUCUAGAGCUAAUACAUGCAGAAAGUCCCGACCUCUGGAAGGGAUGUAUUUAUUAGAUCCAAAACCGGCGCAGGUCCUCCGGGGCCUGGUUGCUUGGUGAUUCAUGAUAACUGCUCGAACCGUAUGGCCUCUCGCGCCGACGGUGCUUCAUUCAAAUUUCUGCCCUAUCAACUUUCGAUGGUACGGUAGUGGCCUACCAUGGUUGCAACGGGUGACGGAGAAUUAGGGUUCGGUUCCGGAGAGGGAGCCUGAGAAACGGCUACCACAUCCAAGGAAGGCAGCAGGCGCGCAAAUUACCCAAUCCCGACUCGGGGAGGUAGUGACAAUAAAUAACAAUGCCGGGCUAUCGUAGUCUGGCAAUUGGAAUGAGUACAAUCUAAAUCCCUUAACGAGGAACAAUUGGAGGGCAAGUCUGGUGCCAGCAGCCGCGGUAAUUCCAGCUCCAAUAGCGUAUAUUAAAGUUGUUGCAGUUAAAAAGCUCGUAGUUGGAUUUCGGGGCGGCCUGGUUGGUCCGUCGCAAGGCGAGUACUGGUCAGCCGCCCUUCCUCUCGAAAGCCCCGACUGCUCUUCACUGCAGUGGUCGGGUAGUUCGGGACGUUUACUUUGAAAAAAUUAGAGUGUUCAAGGCAGGCUUACGCCUGAAUACAUUAGCAUGGAAUAAUGGAAGAGGACCUCGGUCCUAUUUUGUUGGUUUCUGGGGCCGAAGUAAUGAUUAAGAGGGACAGUUGGGGGCAUUCGUAUUUAAUUGUCAGAGGUGAAAUUCU